rnacentral:rRNA from 1 species
GACGAACGCUGGCGGCGUGCUUAACACAUGCAAGUCGAACGGAAAGGCCCUGCUUUUGUGGGGUGCUCGAGUGGCGAACGGGUGAGUAACACGUGAGUAACCUGCCCUUGACUUUGGGAUAACUUCAGGAAACUGGGGCUAAUACCGGAUAGGAGCUCCUGCUGCAUGGUGUGGGUUGGAAAGUUUCGGCGGUUGGGGAUGGACUCGCGGGUUAUCAGCUGGUUGGUGGGGUAGUGGCUUACCAAGGCUUUGACGGGUAGCCGGCCUGAGAGGGUGACCGGGCACAUUGGGACUGAGACACGGUCCAGAGUGAUACGGGAGUCAGCAGUGGGGAAUAAUGCACAAUGGGCGGAAGCCGGAAGCAGGAACGCGGGGUGAGGGAUGACGGCUUUCGGGUUUUAAACCGCUGGCGGCUGGGACGAAGAGUGAGUGGAGGGAAUGGGUAUAGAAGCACCGGCUAACUACGUG